rnacentral:rRNA from 1 species
GAGUUUGAUCCUGGCUCAGGACGAACGCUGGCGGCGCGCCUAACACAUGCAAGUCGAACGGAGCUUAGAGAGCUUGCUUUUUAAGCUUAGUGGCGAACGGGUGAGUAACGCGUGAGUAACCUGCCCUAGAGUGGGGGACAACAGUUGGAAACGACUGCUAAUACCGCAUAAGCCCACGGUACCGCAUGGCACUGAGGGAAAAGGAUUUAUUCGCUUUAGGAUGGACUCGCGUCCAAUUAGCUAGUUGGUGAGGUAACGGCCCACCAAGGCGACGAUUGGUAGCCGGACUGAGAGGGUGAACGGCCACAUUGGGACUGAGACACGGCCCAGACUCCUACGGGAGGCAGCAGUGGGGAAUAUUGCACAAUGGGGGAAACCCUGAUGCAGCAACGCCGCGUGAGUGAAGAAGUAUUUCGGUAUGUAAAGCUCUAUCAGCAGGGAAGAUAAUGACGGUACCUGACUAAGAAGCUCCGGCUAAAUACGUGCCAGCCGCCGCGGUAAUAC